rnacentral:lncRNA from 1 species
GUUUUCUUCCAAAGUUAUUUAACAUAUAGACCAGGUCACAUUGAUGAAAGAACCUGAGCUUCGAAUUGUUUAAACUCAGAGCUUGGUUUUGUUCUAUUCGCUUACAGUCACCUGGUAACGCCCUGAUGCGAUCAAUUCUUUUGAACCUACAAGUACUUAGCCGACUACGUUGAAGGAAGAGGCUAUGUUCUGUAAUGCUUACAAUUACAGCAAAUAGCGGGGGAUGAAGUGGCUACGAAAGUAAAAGGAAAGAUGUUCUGGGGUCUUCAAUCGAGUAGGAACUAGUGACCUUCAGUUUUGGGUAACUUGGUUGGUCAGGCAUAAUUCUGUUCCUGCUGCUAUAUGCUAUGCUAUAGUAUCAACAUAAUUUACAAACUAACAGUCUAUGGCUUUCAUUCACAGAUAAUCGAGAGGCAAACUAGAAUAAACUGAAACAAAUAUCUAAUAAUACAAGGCCAAAGUCAUUUUGGACCAUUGAAUUCAUACAAAACUUUUAAGUACAUACA